ACCAACCUGAACACACCCAAUCUCGUCUGAUCUCGGAAUCUAAGCAGGGCUGGACCUGGUUAGUACUUGGAUGGGAGAAAAGACUUUUCCACAGUCACCUGCUACCACAUGUAACCACCUGUC
rnacentral:rRNA from 1 species